GUACGCAAGUAUGAAACUUAAAGGAAUUGACGGGAUCCCGCACAAGCGGUGGAUCAUGUUGUUUAAUUCGAAGAUACACGAAAAACCUUACCAGGUCUUGACAUUAUCCUGCGAAGCUAUAGAAAUAUAGGGGAGGUUAUCAGGAUAACAGGUGGUGCAUGGUUGUCGUCAGCUCGUGUCGUGAGAUGUUAGGUUAAGUCCUAAAACGAGCGCAACCCUUGUCGUUAGUUACCAGCACGUUAUGGUGGGGACUUUAGCGAGACUGCCAAUGAAAAAAUUGGAGGAAGGUGAGGAUUACGUCAAAUCAUCAUGCCCCUUAUGAUCUGGGCUACAAACGUGAUACAAUGGCUAUUACAAAGAGCAGCUGAAACGUGAGUUGUUAGCUAAUCUCAAAAAAAUAGUCUCAGUUCGGAUUGAAGUCUGCAACUCGACUUCAUGAAGUUGGAAUCGCUAGUAAUCGCGAAUCAGCAUGUCGCGGUGAAUACGUUCUCGGGGUUUGUACACACCGCCCGUCAAACCAUGAAAGUUGACAAUACCCAAAACCAGUCGCUUAACUACUUCGGUAGAGGGAGCUGUCUAAGGUAGGGUCGAUGAUUGGGGUUAAGUCGUAACAAGGUAUCCCUACCGGAAGGUGGGGAUGGAUCACCUCCUUUCUAAGGAAAUGUCGUAUCAUGAUCAUC
rnacentral:rRNA from 1 species